CUUAAGCAGUUCUGAAUCUUCUUUUUGAGAAAAAUCUAACUGUAACUGCAAGCACUUUCAUAACCUACCUCACCCACGUCAUCUGGGAAAGUAUAAGUCAGAUUCCACAAUUACCCCAACAGAAUGUCAAUUGUGCCACUGGAAUGUCUCAUAUCAAAAGCCGUUGGAAUUUGCUUCGUUUAACCACAUAGAAUAACUGUACCCUUGGUGCUGCCAGAAAGCUCAGUCUGCGAUUGAUUGCUGUAGUUCUCUCCCAGAGCACAGUUGAGUUGAUUGCUUUUUUGAGAAAGCCUCUAAGGGAUUUGCUGUCUGUGUGCCUAUUGGGCUGUCUGUGCCCCUGGCUGGAGCAGAAACUGAGGAAGGAAGAUCCUACGGCUCAUCAAGUAAAACGGUCUUUUGGGGAAGAAGCAUUCUUAGAAAUGCUGCACCAAGAGUUGGAAUUGAGAAUUCAGAAAACAUGAUAGAGAAGGAACAGGAAGAAACCAUUUGGACAUCCAAAAAUAAAAGGCCAGAGACAGAAUCUCACUUUGUUGCCCAGGCUGGUGGUCUCUAACUCCUGGACUUAAGCAAUCCUCCCGCCUCAGCCUCCCAAAGUGCUGGGAUCACAGGUCUGAUUAUAAAAGGAGAAUUGGAGGCUUACCAAACAUCUGAAGAGCUUUCCAGAAGUUUGGUCACUUCUGAAUUAGAGAAGUUAAAACCCAAUCACCUACUAAUGCUGUGGGAAAGUUCUGCAGGUGAUACAUCACAGGGGCUCAUGAAUGUGUCUUAAGCUGGGUCAUUGAAGUGGAAUGUUUUCACAAGACCUCCUCCACUUGCUACUGUGUCCGGAAUUGGUGGGUUCUUGGUCUCACUGACUUCAAGAAUGAAGCCGCGGACCCUCGCGGGAGUGGCAAAUCAAAGGCAUUGCAGCCUCUUUCAUCACUGCCGAUUGCUGAUGCCAACCAUGUGCCAAGUGCUUAAUACGUCACCUUAAAUCUUCUCAUCCACCCUCAGAGUAGCUGCAGCAUCAACCCAGUGCCCUGACUUUCAAGACGACUAUGAAAACACCCCAACUGCUGCUAAAUUACCAGCAACAAGGAUCUGACAUUCUUAUUCAAAAGAAAGAACACCGAAAUUGACCUUACCCUGACAAUAUGAUGGCUGAAGGAUUUAUGAUCACUUAUAACAUUUGAAAUUGAGGCGGAACCUGAAGAAUAAGACUCUGGUGAAAGGUCCUAUUUAUGCUUUUGAUGUCUUUCACUUGGACAUUUACCACAUGCCUAUUGGUAGGUUUGUUACAUAGGUCAGUUAAGGUGAUACAAGAAUAAAUAAAACACUAUCCCUAUCCUUUAAUAUCAUUUAUUUAUGGGGUCAAUCACAGAUUUUCAUUUUUCAAAAUCUUUGAUAAAUGUCAGAAUUAUGUUUUUUAAUAUUUUUACAGAAUUAUUACAAUAUAUGGUAGAGGAUGGAAGGCAAGGUAGUAUGAAACGGAAAAGAUAUUUUGAAUUAAGGUAUUUGGACCUGGAUUAAUAUUUUUGCUUUGGUCUUUAUUAGCUGAGUGACCUUGAGAAAGUUCUUCUACUAAAAAAGAACAAAGAUAAUAAUUACUUCAUGAAAUUGCUGUAAAAAACACAUAACAAGUAUAUCCAGACUCAACAGUGUAUGCUCAAAAAUGCAGAUCCUUUUUCCCUUACCUGCAAAUAAAGUCUUACAGUAAUACAGUGGGGGUAAAGGUUUAAACUGGUGGAUUCAAGAAGGGCUAUAGAAAGAGGUAGCAUCUUAAUAGGGGAAGGAGAGGAUCCAAGAAAUCAGAUCCAUUUUCUACAAAAAGAAAUGGGAAGACAGAUAAUUCAAGAAGAAAAGUUUACAUGAUUAAAGACCCGAAGUUAGAAAUAGUGAUGUGUCUCAAUAGUAAGUUAGGAAUUGGGGUGGACACAAUUGUUGGAAGAAGGAUGGUUUCAGCAAAGGCCCAAGUUAGGUGACAAUUUCAAGUGUUUGUGAAGAUAUAUGAACAAAAUUAUAAAGUAGUUAGGGUAUAAGAAAUAGGGAGGAGGGAAUGAAUUAACAUUUAUGGAGUGUCUUGCAUGUUCCAAGCACUGUACUACUUGCCUUAUAAACCUUUCUUCAAUAAACGCCUACAACAAUCCUGAGAUGUGGAAUUAUUAGUUCCUCAAUGGACCCAGAGAGUUUCAAUUAUGUGCUUAAGAACACAGAGUUAGUAAAGGACAGAGACAGAAUUCAAAUUAAGCCUAUGUUACUCCACAUCCUAUGCAUUCACUAAACCUCUCAAGAAAACCAAUUUAUUGGACCUUUUAAUCAUUUAAGAAUGAGAUGAUAGGGGGCGGUUCCAAGAUGGCCAAAUAGGAACAGCUCCAGUCUACAGCU
rnacentral:lncRNA from 1 species